rnacentral:rRNA from 1 species
CACGGCUACGGUUUAAAUUUCUUGGAACAGAAUNUCAUAGAGGGUGAGAGUCCCGUCUUGAACCGAUUGCUUCGUCCAUGUGAAACUCCUUCGNCGAGUCGAGUUGUUUGGGAAUGCAGCUCAAAAUGGGUGGUAAAUUUCAUCUAAAGCUAAAUAUUGGCCAGAGACCGAUAGCGCACAAGUAGAGUGAUCGAAAGAUGAAAAGCACUUUGAAAAGAGAGUUAAACAGUAUGUGAAAUUGUUGAAAGGGAAGCGCUUGUAAUCAGACUUGAGCUUAACAGUUCCCCCUUCGUUCUNNUUGGGUUAUUCUGUUUUGUCCAGGCCAACAUCGGUUCGAGUGGUUGGUUAAAGACUUUGGGAAUGUAUCUNNCCUCCGGGGUCGACUUAUAGCCCAGAGUGUCAUGCAGCCUACUUGGACUGAGGAACGCGCUUCGGCUCGGAUGUUGGCGUAAUGGUUAUAAGCGACC